rnacentral:rRNA from 1 species
AUAGUACCCGGGUAGUCCACGCCGUAAACGAUGGAUACUAGCUGUUUGAGCGCAAGUUUGAGUGGCUAAGCGAAAGUGAUAAGUAUCCCACCUGGGGAGUACGGGCGCAAGCCUGAAACUCAAAGGAAUUGACGGGGGCCCGCACAAGCGGUGGAGCAUGUGGUUUAAUUCGAUGAUACGCGAGGAACCUUACCAGGGCUUAAAUGUAGAUUGACGUAUUUGGAAACAGAUAUUUCUUCGGACAAUUUACAAGGUGCUGCAUGGUUGUCGUCAGCUCGUGCCGUGAGGUGUCAGGUUAAGUCCUAUAACGAGCGCAACCCCUGUUGUUAGUUGCCAGCGAGUAAUGUCGGGAACUCUAGCAAGACUGCCAGUGUAAACUGUGAGGAAGGUGGGGAUGACGUCAAAUCAUCACGGCCCUUACGUCCUGGGCCACACACGUGCUACAAUGGCCGGUACAGAGAGCAGCCACUUAGCGAUAAGGAGCGAAUCUAUAAAGCCGGUCACAGUUCGGAUCGGAGUCUGC